rnacentral:rRNA from 1 species
UUCCGGUUGAUCCUGCCGGACCCGACUGCUAUCAGAGUGGGACUAAGCCAUGCGAGUCAACAUAGCAAUAUGUGGCAUACGGCUCAGUAACACGUAGUCAACAUGCCCAGGGGACGUGGAUAACCUCGGGAAACUGAGGAUAAACCGCGAUAAGUCACUGCUUCUGGAAUGGGCAAUGACUUAAAUCUAUAUGGCCCCUGGAUUGGACUGCGGCCGAUCAGGCUGUUGGUGAGGUAAUGGCCCACCAAACCUGUAACCGGUACGGGCUCUGAGAGGAGGAGCCCGGAGAUGGGCACUGAGACAAGGGCCCAGGCCCUAUGGGGCGCAGCAGGCGCGAAACCUCUGCAAUAGGCGAAAGCCUGACAGGGUUACUCUGAGUGAUUUCCGUUAAGGAGAUCUUUUGGCACCUCUAAAAAUGGUGCAGAAUAGGGGGUGGGCAAGUCUGGUGUCAGCCGCCGCGGUAAUACCAGCACCCCGAGUGGUCGGGACGUUUAUUGGGCCUAAAGCAUCCGUAGCCGGUUCUGCAAGUCUUCCGUUAAAUCCACCUGCUUAACAGAUGGGCUGCGGAAGAUACUAUAGAGCUAGGAGGCGGGAGAGGCAAGCGGUACUCGAUGGGUUGGGGUAAAAUCCGUUGAUCCAUUGAAGACCACCAGUGGCGAAGGCGGCUUGCCAGAACGCGCUCGACGGUGAGGGAUGAAAGCUGGGGGAGCAAACCGGAUUAGAUACCCGGGUAGUCCCAG